rnacentral:rRNA from 1 species
UACAGAGGGUGCAAGCGUUAAUCGGAAUUACUGGGCGUAAAGCGUGCGUAGACGGUUAUGUAAGUCGGGUGUGAAAGCCCCGGGCUCAACCUGGGAAUGCCAUUCGAGACUGCAUAGCUAGGGUGCGGAAGAGGGAAGCGGAAUUUCCGGUGUAGCGGUGAAAUGCGCAGAGAUCGGGAGGAACACCCGUAGCGAAAGCGGCUCUCUGGGACGGUACUGGACGCUGAGACGCGAAAGCGUGGGGAGCAAACAGG